CGCUAGAAGACUUCCUGGAAGUAUUCUGACGGAGUCUUCUCCCAUCUUAAGUGGAGUCCAAGCUUGUCUUUGUGGUCCAUUUUUUGAUUCGUAGGUGUACUCUUUUAGUUGUAAAUUCUUUUGUAAAUUUGAAGAGAUAUUAAUGAAAACAUUUUGGUAAAAAUGUUGUCUACAAUAUUAUCUUGCCAAAAGUACUUGACAUUAUUGAAUUUAUUGAUCCAACUUAAAUAACAAAACACAAUAACACAAAAAACUAGUCAAAUUUACUAAAACUAAUAAAGAAGACUUCUUAAGAAAACUUAGUCAAAUUCACAAAAGAUUAAUCAUUACACAAGUUAAAACAUAUAGCAUUUUCACUAGAAGUCUUCUGGGAAUUUUUCUCGGAAGACUUAAAUGUCAAGCGGAAAAUUAAAAUAUAAGCGGGAAAUUAAAAUUUACGCGGAAAACUCAAAUUAUAAAUGAAAAUUGAAAUUUCAAAUUUCAUGAAAGUUAAAAAGUAUAUCUUAUGAUC
rnacentral:lncRNA from 1 species